rnacentral:rRNA from 1 species
CUACGGGCGGCACCAGUGAGGAAUUUUGCGCAAUGGGGGCAACCCUGACGCAGCAACGCCGCGUGAGUGAAGAAGGCCUUUGGGUCGUAAAGCUCUGUCAACAGGGAAGAAGUUACGGUCGUUUAAGAGAUGUCCGUAUUGACGGUACCUGUGGAGGAAGCAUCGGCUAACUCCGUGCCAGCAGCCGCGGUAAUUCGGGGGAUGCAAGCGUUAUUCGGAAUUAUUGGGCGUAAAGGGCACGCAGGCGGUCUUGUCAGUCAGAUGUGAAAGCCCGGGGCUCAACCCCGGACGUGCAUUUAAAACAGAAAGACUUGAGUACGGUAGAGGAAAGCGGAAUUCCUGGUGUAGAGGUGAAAUUCGUAGAUAUCAGGAGGAACACCGGUGGCGAAGGCGGCUUUCUGGACCGAAACUGACGCUGAGGUGCGAAGGCGUGGGUAGCGAACAGGAUUAGAUACCCUUGUAGUC